UAGGUUGAAGCCAGUUGACUAGGGUAUUUAGCUGUUAACUAAAAUUUCGUGGGAUCAAGGCCCACCAAUCUAG
rnacentral:tRNA from 1 species